rnacentral:rRNA from 1 species
UGAGUACGAGAUGCUACGGCAUCGAAGCAGUCUAUGUCAUACUUCCAAGAAAAGCUUGCACUGUCAUAAACAAAGAAUGCCUGUACCAUAACCGACACAGGUGGGUAGGUAGAGUAUACUAAGGGGCGCGAGAUAACUCUCUCUAAGGAACUCGGCAAAAUGACUCCGUAACUUCGGGAGAAGGAGUGCCUUAUUUCUAAGGUUGCAAUAACAAGAUCCAAGCAACUGUUUACCAAAAACACAGGUCUCCGCUAAGUCGUAAGACGAUGUAUGGGGGCUGACGCCUGCCCAGUGCCAGAAGGUUAAAGAAGUUGGUUAGCAUUAGCGAAGCUGAUAACUGAAGCCCUGGUGAACGGCGGCCGUAACGAUAACGGUCCUAAGGUAGCGAAAUUCCUUGUCGGGUAAGUUCCGACCCGCACGAAAGGCGUAAUGAUUUGGAUACUGUCUCGGAGAGGGGCUCGGUGAAAUAGACUUGUCUGUGAAGAUGCGGACUACCUGCACCUGGACAGAAAGACCCUAUGAAGCUUUACUGUAACUUGAGAUUGAAAUUGGACUUUAUUUGCGCAGUAUAGGUGGGAGGCGUUGAGAAUAAUCUUGCGGGAUUGUUGGAGCCAUCAGUGAGAUACCACUCUUGUAAUGUUAGAUUUCUAACUUUGUAUCAUUAUCUGGUCAAAGAACAGUUUCAGGCGGGCAGUUUGACUGGGGCGGUCGCCUCCCAAAGGGUAACGGAGGCGCACAAAGGUUUCCUCUGAACGGGUAGAAAUCGUAUCUAGAGUGUAAAGGCAUAAGGAAGCUUGACUGUGAGACCUACAAGUCGAGCAGGGACGAAAGUCGGUCUUAGUGAUCUGACGGUGCUGAGUGGAAAGGCCGUCACUCAACGGAUAAAAGUUACUCUAGGAUAACAGGCUGAUCUCCCCCAAGAGUUCACAUCGACGGGGGGUUUGGCACCUCGAUGUCGGCUCAUCGCAUCCUGGGGCGGUAGUCCGUCCCAAGGGUUGGGCUGUUCGCCCAUGAAAGCGGUACGCGAGCUGGGUUCAGAACGUCGUGAGACAGUUCGGUCCAUAUCCGGUGUAGGCGUUAGAAUAUUGAGAGGAGCCUUCUCUAGUACGAGAGGACCGAGAAGGACAUACCUCUGGUGUACCAGUUAUCGUGCCAACGGUAAACGCUGGGUAGCUAUGUAUGGAGUGGAUAACCGCUGAAAGCAUCUAAGUGGGAAGCCCACCUCAAGAUAAGUAUUCAC